GGUGGAUAUUUAUUUCUUUUUCUCCAUUUUCACACGCUACUGCCUAACACCUUUUUCUCUCUAAGUUUCAUUGGGUCCUUUUUAGUAUGUAUACUAUUUCUGUUUCUAUUCUAUUUUUUUGACGUAUAGACUAAUAUGUUUUAUAAUUUUUUUUUCAGUUGUUUGCUUGGUAUCCAAUGCUAGGAUUUCGGUAUUUUCGGGCUACUUUUUUCUAACAAGUUAGUUCCUUCUUUUCCCCACUUAUAGUUUGUAUUAUUUUUUCAAGUUGAUUUCUCUGGGGCUUCCAAUCUGUUGUGGACUUUUGUGUUUGUGUUCUUCUUUUGGUUGAUUUUAUAUUUUGGGUUUGAAUGUUCUUUUCUUUCGUGAUCCGGAGGCAUCCUAAGGUUCGAAAAUUCUUUUGUGAUUUUUGUAAAACUCUUUUCCGUCCGUUGUACUUGAGCGAAGUUUGGACUUUAUGAAAUUUGUUUGUUGUUAGUUUAUGAGAUGAUAAAUGACGGUUCGAAUAUAUAUAUAUAUAUAUAUAUAUAUAUAUAGAGAGAGAGAGAGAGAGAGAGAGCGUUCUUACUCUUUGAUCGCCUUCAUGAAGUUAUCUUUUUUGGCCAGUCUCAAGCACAUGUCAUGCAUUGCACCAUGGAUNUUUUUUUUUUUUUUUUUUUUUCGGAUUUCUGUAUUUUGUGUUUCAAUCGUUGCGUUUAUUGUAUUUGUUCUCUUUGCUUGUUUGAUCGUUGACACAUUUUUUUGGCUCUUACUAAAUAAAAUAACCUUAUUUUAGUUUGCAGGUAGUGGUGGAGAAUAUUUUUAGCUUCUCUUUAGUUCGUGGUAGGAGUAAUAUCUGGAGGUUUUUCCUGCGGUGGUUUAUGAGGGAGAAAUUUACUUUCAUAUGAUUUGAUUUUUCAUUUUUCUUGUAUAGCGUUGAACUUCGAUGUUGAUGUUGAUUUGUUGUACACAAACUCUGGAGUGAACUAGGAUUGUUUGUUGUAUAUUUUAUAUGGAUUGAUUGAGGUCUGGUUGUUUUGAAUUUUAGUUCUUAUUCUUUUUUUUAUUAUUGAAAUUGAAAUUUGUGGAGUUCUACAACUCAAUUUCAUUUAA
rnacentral:lncRNA from 1 species